AACGAACGCUGGCGGCAGGCCUAACACAUGCAAGUCGAACGCAUCGCAAGAUGAGUGGCAGACGGGUGAGUAACGCGUGGGAACCUUCCCAGUGGUGCGGAAUAGCUCAGGGAAACUUGAGCUAAUACCGGAUAAGCCCUUAUGGGGAAAGAUUUAUCGCCGAAGGAUCGGCCCGCGUCCGAUUAGCUAGUUGGUGAGGUAACGGCUCACCAAGGCGACGAUCGGUAGCUGGUCUGAGAGGAUGAUCAGCCACACUGGGACUGAGACACGGCCCAGACUCCUACGGGAGGCAGCAGUGGGGAAUAUUGGACAAUGGGGGCAACCCUGAUCCAGCCAUGCCGCGUGAGUGAUGAAGGCCCUAGGGUUGUAAAGCUCUUUCGGCGGGGACGAUAAUGACGGUACCCGCAGAAGAAGCCCCGGCUAACUUCGUGCCAGCAGCCGCGGUAAGUCUCGCGUGA
rnacentral:rRNA from 1 species